GAAAGCCUGUGCAUUUAGCUAGCUCAAGGCCUUUAGAUUCCAAGUGGCAUCCUGGUAACAAGUAGCUACGGCUAUAAAAAUAAAUCUUUGAAAGAAGGGACAGAUGCUUUUCACGAUUUGCCAAGUCUGCUGUUUAGUCAUAUUCCUUCUUUAUUAUAUUCCAGAUAAUCAGAAUUCCCCUUUGAAGUUUUUCUUUUUCCCUCUCCUUACAUACUCAUCUAACUUCCUUGCAAAAAUUCUUUUACUUUAAUUUGAAUGUGUACUGAUAUAGAUGUUUUUAAUCUGUAGAUUUAAAAAUAAAUAUUUGGAGGAUUAUUUGGUUCUGUUAUAAGGAAGAAAAAUUAUGGAAUUAUCUUUUUGCUCCCAGAGAAGAUUGAAUAUUCUUUUCCUAAGGAAGAAUUAGGAGCAAAUCCUGUGUAAAUAGUUUAUUAGGCUUUGUGAUGUUUUAUUGAAUGUAAAUAUUAGGUGAUAGUUGAAGGGAAAUAUGUAAAAGGAAGGAAAAUGCAAAUUUGGAGAAUCUUUGGAUGUGCCUUUUUUCUUUUAAGCAUUGUAUAUAGAUAGGGUAGAUGCUUUUUCUUUGAUCAGUAUACCUCUAAUGAUAUGGCUGUUCUCUUAUAAGUCAUAUUUUUGAUGGAAUAGAUUUUGCUACUAUGCUGAUAGCAUGC
rnacentral:lncRNA from 1 species